rnacentral:rRNA from 1 species
GACGAACGCUGGCGGCGUGCUUAACACAUGCAAGUCGAACGGAAAGGCCCUGCUUUUGUGGGGUGCUCGAGUGGCGAACGGGUGAGUAACACGUGAGUAACCUGCCCUUGACUUUGGGAUAACUUCAGGAAACUGGGGCUAAUACCGGAUCGGAGCUCCUGCUGCAUGGUGGGGGUUGGAAAGUUUCGGCGGUUGGGGAUGGACUCGCGGCUUAUCAGCUUGUUGGUGGGGUCGGGGCUUACCAAGGCUUUGACGGGUAGCCGGCCUUAGAGGGUGACCGGCCACAUUGGGACUGAGAUACGGCCCAGACUCCUACGUGAGGCAGCAGUGGGGAAUAUUGCACAAUGGGCGGAAGCCUGAGGCAGCAACGCCGCGUGCGGGAUGACGGCCUUCGGGUUGUAAACCGCUUUCGCCUGUGACGAAGCGUGAGUGACGGUAAUGGGUAAAGAAGCACCGGCUAACUACGUG